AGAAGAGCUUGCUUUUCUUAGCUUAGUGGCGAACGGGUGAGUAACGCGUGAGUAACCUGCCCUGGAGUGGGGGACAACAGUUGGAAACGACUGCUAAUACCGCAUAAGACCACGGAUCCGCAUGGAUCUGCGGGAAAAGGAUUUAUUCGCUUCAGGAUGGACUCGCGUCCAAUUAGCUAGUUGGUGAGGUAACGGCCCACCAAGGCGACGAUUGGUAGCCGGACUGAGAGGUUGAACGGCCACAUUGGGACUGAGACACGGCCCAGACUCCUACGGGAGGCAGCAGUGGGGGAUAUUGCACAAUGGGGGAAACCCUGAUGCAGCGACGCCGCGUGGAGGAAGAAGGUUUUCGGAUUGUAAACUCCUGUCGUUAGGGACGAUAAUGACGGUACCUAACAAGAAAGCACCGGCUAACUACGUGCCAGCAGCCGCGGUAAAACGUAGGGUGCAAGCGUUGUCCGGAAUUACUGGGUGUAAAGGGAGCGCAGGCGGACCGGCAAGUUGGAAGUGAAAACUAUGGGCUCAACCCAUAAAUUGCUUUCAAAACUGCUGGCCUUGAGUAGUGCAGAGGUAGGUGGAAUUCCCGGUGUAGCGGUGGAAUGCGUAGAUAUCGGGAGGAACACCAGUGGCGAAGGCGACCUACUGGGCACCAACUGACGCUGAGGCUCGAAAGCAUGGGUAGCAAACAGGAUUAGAUACCCUGGUAGUCCAUGCCGUAAACGAUGAUUACUAGGUGUUGGAGGAUUGACCCCUUCAGUGCCGCAGUUAACACAAUAAGUAAUCCACCUGGGGAGUACGACCGCAAGGUUGAAACUCAAAGGAAUUGAC
rnacentral:rRNA from 1 species